GGACUACUCCCUCCGUUCGGAAUUACUUGUCACAAAAAUGAAUGUAUCUACAACUAAAAUACAUCUAGAUACAUUCAUUUUUUGGACAAGUAAUUUCGAACGGAGGGAGUACUUG
rnacentral:pre_miRNA from 1 species